AGCUUGCAAGCAAGGAAAAAAUCGAGAAAGAACGGGCAAGACUGGCAGUGCUGAUGAAUUGAAUAGAGGAUAUUUUGAUGAUAUGUCUGAGCUAAAACAACACGGUGGUAAGAUUGCACUGGCAAAUAAGAUUCUAAUUCCGGAAAUGCAGUAAGGAAGUUUCCUGCCAUGAAUGUUAUAUAUUCUGAUGGUAGAAAAUCAAAGCUGCCGAUUGUUUUUUAUGCAAGUGGCGUUGAUGCUAGCAAUUUGGUUGUCCCUGAAGCAUCUUUAGUUUGUCUAUCCUUUAGAGCAAACUCUCAGGCUAUGGUAGAUUCUUGGAGCAAGCCUUUUAUGACGCCUUUAGUGAGUCCAAGAGCGUGCAGCUAUAUGAGGUAAUAUGGAGAAUGAAGUCAAAGAAACACUUGGAAACGGUUUCACUAGCAAUUCUGCUUCGCUAGAGGUCAGUUAGCCAGAUCAUUUAUUCCAACAUAGAUUCCCGUUUAUAAUGUCUUCUCUUUUUUCCUUGUGAUGUAAGGUAUGUAUCAGACACGCUCAUGUUUGAAUACAUGUAUCAAACACAAGUAUUUAAGGAAGAAGAAAAGAAGCCCUUUAUUCUAUAUAUCCUUAUUGAUAAAUAGAAAUACAAUUUUGUUUUCUCCAAAA